rnacentral:rRNA from 1 species
AGAGUUUGAUCAUGGCUCAGGAUGAACGCUGGCGGUCGGCUUAACACAUGCAAGUCGAACGGAAUGCUUCGGCACUUAGUGGCGGACGGGUGAGUAACGCGUGAGGAGCUGCCUUCAGGAUGGGGACAACGACUGGAAACGGUCGCUAACACCCGAUGUGCCGAGAGGCGAAAUAUUGGAUGGCCUGAAGAUGAGCUCGCGUCCGACUAGCUAGUUGGAGUGGUAAGGGCACCCCAAGGCGACGAUCGGUAGCUGGUCUGAGAGGAUGAUCAGCCACACUGGGACUGAGACACGGCCCAGACUCCUACGGGAGGCAGCAGUGGGGAAUUUUCGGCAAUGGGCGCAAGCCUGACGGAGCAAGACCGCGUGUGUGAUGAAGGUCUGCGGAUUGUAAACCCCUUUUGAUAGGGAAGAUAAUGACGGUACCUAUCGAAUAAGCAUCGGCUAACUCCGUGCCAGCCGCCGCGGUAAUAC